rnacentral:rRNA from 1 species
UACGUAGGGGGCAAGCGUUACCCGGAUUCACUGGCGUAAAGCGCGUGUAGGCGGCUGGCCAAGCGUGGUGUGAAAUCUCCGGGCUCAACCCGGAACUGCACUGCGAACUGGCCUGGCUGGAGUGCAGGAGAGGGAUGCGGAAUUCACGGUGUAGCGGUGAAAUGCGUAGAUAUCGUGAGGAACACCAGUGGCGAAGGCGGCAUCCUGGCCUGUAACUGACGCUGAGACGCGAAAGCGUGGGGAGCGAACCGG